GUUGGAGGGGAUUUUACAAGAGUUGCCGAAGCUCCUGAGAGCGAAAAUGUGCUGUUUUAUCCUAUUUGGCAUGUCAUAAACAAGGCAAGGAACGUUUGGGAGCUAAGGCCCAUGCAGAAUGAGGUGACAGAAUCCUGAGAUAGUAGCAUGGACUCUUACCUCUUCAGACUGCGGCAGGCAUAUACCAGUCUCUAAGAUACAAGGGACCUCAGACAACUGGAAGUCGGUUGUCCUUGGAAGUAUAUUCUCAGCUUGGACUUGAAGAUGAGUAACAACAUUUCUUAAUCUGUGGCAGAACUAUCAGGAAAGAAGCAAAUGUUUAUCCAGUUGACAAUUUGUCAGGCUGCCUGCUGGCACUCUUUAAAAACAUAUAUUUUAGCCAUCUGGUUGUGAAAAUCAAGCAUCAACUAUUACUGAAGCACUUAAUCUUUUCAAGCCUGAAAGGCUGGGAAAAACUGGUAUUGCAGCUGUGAACGGUUCCUUAUUCUUAAUGAAAUGUUGAGUUUGAAGAGGCCUGAUAAUAA